AGUGGCGGACGGGUGAGUAACGCGUGGGUAACCUGCCUCAUACAGGGGGAUAACAGUUAGAAAUGACUGCUAAUGCCGCAUAAGACCACAGCACCGCAUGGUGUAGGGGUAAAAACUCCGGUGGUAUGAGAUGGACCCGCGUCUGAUUAGGUAGUUGGUGGGGUAACGGCCUACCAAGCCGACGAUCAGUAGCCGACCUGAGAGGGUGACCGGCCACAUUGGGACUGAGACACGGCCCAA
rnacentral:rRNA from 1 species